GGGGCUGUAGCUCAGUGGUAGAGUGUUUGCCUAGCAUGCAUGAGGCACUGGGUUUGAUCCUCAGCACUCCA
rnacentral:tRNA from 1 species